AGUGAUUCAAUUGGCUUUAAGAAACUAUGGAUGAAUGGAGUUGUUGGGGUUUACAAUUUCAUCUUAUCCAUCCUCAUAUAUCUACUCUUCUUAUUUAAUUUGCUUAUUUAUCAUAUUGCCAUGCAAACUUUCUUAGUCUACCCUUAACCCAAUCCAUUGGUGAAAAGAGCCUCUUACUAAUUACCAGCUUGCUAUCCCUAGCCUCCCCUAGUAAUUAAUAAUGCAUGAUAAGCGGAAGCAAAAUACAAUUGAUCGUCCUACUCCUAUCCCUAGGCGGUAUUAGCAUAAUCAAGGAAUUCAACACCAGUUCAUGACAUUACUGUACGUCCCCGUAUAAGUAAAGACAAACAACAUUUACCGAAUGAGUUAAAUGAUAAAAGCAUUAAGCAAAGGUGAAGAACCCAACAAUUGAUAAAUCAAUCAUAUGCAAGCAUAUAAAAUAAAUAAGAAUUUGGAUAUAUGAGAGUUUCAAAAGAUUACAUUGUUC
rnacentral:lncRNA from 1 species